CCUGCUGUAAAAGGAAAGAAUCAGACUAGGAUCCUUCCAUCUCUAAAUGCCAGUCACCUCAGCCACAUCCAGUCGACCUCUUUUGGGAUGCGUGGUUGUCACAAAAUGCGCGCCCUCCUGAUUGGACUGGAUGUUACACAGAGCCAACUACUACGGAUGGGUUUAUCAAUAAAAAUGCAACCAUCUUUGCUAAGCGCUGUCAGUGUGCCAGGUGUUUAAUGGUUGCGUUUAAUUUGAUCCCCACAAAACAACAACCCUGGAAACUAAGAAUUAUACACAUUUCUUUCUUAAUUCACUCCUCUGCUAAUCUGAAGGCUUCACACUCCAACGUCAAGCUAAUGGUUCCCAUAUUUGUAUCAGCAGAGUGAGACUUUUCCUUGACCUACACACUCCUACAUCCAACUGCUAAGGCCACAGCUGGCAAAUAUCCGCCUUGGAAUAACAGCUAAAAUAGCUCUUCUGUUGCAAAAUAAUAUUUUUGCCUCCGUUUGGAAGACCUUUGAGCCUAGGAAGGUGGGAACAACAACAACAAAAAAGCAGAUUCAGUAGGGAUGAGGGAGGAAGAUGGCUUUGCACCCACAUGUCAGAUCAGCGUUCCCAGCACAGAAGCGCUGCACAGGACACCUCAGCUCUGACACCCCGUGCAGAAGCAUUGAGCAGAACAUCUCAAGAUGGUGGUGGCACAGGCCAUGCGCAGAGACACUGGGCGGGCCCUGCGCUGUGAGGCGGCAGCAGUCCAGCUGCGCCUGCGCCGCACGAGAACUCCACCCCCUCCCCGCUGACUGACGAGAUCCCUAUAAAGCAGCCCCUCCUUGGAUGGUCACGAAUGAGAGCUUGUGCUCUAGAGCGGGAGCUUAUAGGGCUCUGUCUUCUGGUGGAAGAAGAACGCUUUCCUUUGCUGCUGAACUGGGCUAUUGGCUGGAGCGCACUGGGCAGGAGGACCCUCCUUGGGAGCCGACACUGCAGAGUGAGUAACAUAUAUAUUUAUAUAAAUAUUUUCCCCUUUACCUUACGCAAGAAGAUUGCUCACUCCUGGUGCUUUGUUUGCAGGGCUGGGGUGGGAGAGGAUUAGAGAGAGAGGGAACGAAGAGUUGGGAAAAGAGAGACUCGGGAGACUUGUUUCCAAAGAAAGCCAUGCGAGCGGGUGGUGGGGCGGCGGAACGGGGGUGUCGCCCAGCAGAGUUGGUGGGUAGAGGGCUGAGAAGAAAAUGGCUGGAUUCGGCCCGUAUGCGGUCAGGGUGGCUCUGCGGCGUUUGUGGGGGUGGGCGCUCGAUUUCAGAAGGCUAAGAUGUGGACAUGGUGAAGGCCAACGUUGAGUGAGCCCUCCCCUGAGAAAUCUGGAGGCAAAAGGUAGGAGAGAAAUUGAAGUGUCCCUUGAGAAGAGAACAAGCCCAGGGGAAGCUCUUUCAGACCAAGAGUCGAUGUGAGGAGACAGGAGGCCCCUCGUGGGGAUUCCACCGGGAGGAGAAAGUGGAGGCCGUGAGGCUGAACACCAGCGGGAGGGGCGGCCUGGGAUGAAAGGAGGGGAGGGGACAGGCAUGAAGAAAAAGAGGAUGUCGUUAAGAAACACUUUGAGGUAUAAAUGGGGAGGAGUCAGGUUAUCUACCCGCUAAGUGAGAGAGAGGAAAUCCGGUUGAGGUUUUGAGGACAGCAGAGCAUGUAGGAAGGAAAUGGCCUCGGGGAGAAGAGGUUGCCCUUGGGAGUCCUGUUGGUUCUUCCAUUACAGGCCUGUUGCGUUCCUCCCUUCGUGUCAUUCACAGUGUCUUUGCCCCCUAUUCAGAUGCCACUAUGAUCUUGGCA